CACAGUUACAGAUCCGUUUCCCCUGUGGAGCCAACGUUCUCCCUGCCCAGUUCAGCUCCUCCAGCUGCCGCAGAGGCUUGGUGCUUUCCAGGCCAGUGCUGAGCUGUCAUCCUGUGAGCCCCGCCUGCGCUGCUUUCUCGGGCUGGAUCCCUGUUUCCUGGACUUCAUGUCUGUCUGUUUCAUGAUCUACUCCCUCAUUUUGCUGAAGUAUAUCAUCCAACACCUUCAGAAAGAACACAAGCGAGUGACACAUGCUGGUGACAAGUGAAACCUUCCAGUACCUGACAUAAAAGGCAAAGAGGACUCGCUUUUCCUGGUCUUCUAUCACCAACACAUACCAUUGAGACGACUGCACCUGUGGUACCUGCCUCAGGACCAAAGGAGAUACAGUGAGUAGAAGGAGGAAAUUGGCGCAUUGUGGAGUAAAAUUCUGGAUUAAUUGCUGCUGAGUCAAGGAGAAAACCUGCACAGAGGACAAGGCCAGGGGGAAACUGUCAAAUGCCAGGGCCUUAGUGGAUGGCCCUCAGUCACUUUAUUUCUCACCUGGUUCGCUGGUGCAUCUGUGUGACCCUCUCUGCAUUCUGACGUCAUAAAGAACACAAUUCACAUUGGAAACCAAAGUACUCUGGCUACAGCAGGGACAGUGCGUAGGGCCUUUCCUUUUCCUGCUCCUACGGCCUCACCUCUGUGCCCAGGAGGAGGUGGAGAGAGGGGCUGGAAUCACCUGGGGCCCGAGGGUCGCCCCCGAAAGAAGGCCCCUCGGUUCCUCGAUGUGCGGUGAGGGCUUUGAGCCAGGACUUUGAACUGCUCAGCAAUUUCUUAGUAAGACGUGAGCACCAGAGUGUCAGCUGGAGCUUUAGGCUUUUGUCUGUGGUGGGCUGUUUUCCUGCCACGGUUGUUGUGGUUUACCGUCUACCUGAGUGUUCAAAACUGCUUUGCAGAAUCCAGUGACUGAGCUUCAGAUUUGGUACCACUCCUUCCCCGCCCAGCUGUGGCCCUUGGGACACACGUUCCACCGUGCGUCUCCUCCCACGCCCUGCUGCGUUUCCAUCGGGAGGAGAAUCAUUAGUGAACAGGCACCCACAUUGUCAGAUCUUCAGUGUGUAUUUCCAGGAAUGGUAAUUUGGGGAAAACUAAGAUAGGUCCCCAGACUGCUGUACCAAAGAUGAUUUCCCCAAACGGACAGUGGAGAUCAAUCAACACCACGCAGCCCAAGAAAGGACUCGGGACCUCAAAAGUCUUAGAAUUUUGGGAACCACGCCUAAUUUAUGCUCAGUAAAUAACCAUGAAUAUGUAAAAAAUUUUUCAAAAAUAAAGUCACAAGGAUAUUUAUUAGGAGUUUACCUAUAAUAACAAAAAAUGGGAAAAAAUCUAAAUAGCCGAUAGGUUAUUGAUUGAAUAAAUUAUGUUAUACUCGUAUUUUUGUCACAAUCAAUAACUAGCAAUUGUUGCAUGCUUACCAUGUCCUGGAUAUUAUGUAUUAGCUUUAUGUGUGUUAUCG